CCCAAUGUUCUAUGACAGUUAAGAAGCAGUCUGCCUGGAGCAUCAACAGCUGGCUUCUGGGUCAGAGGUCAUGAGCUCUGAGGUUCCUCAGGUGUUGCCUGGAUAAAAAUGCCCUUUUACCUGCCUAUAAAAAACUUCAAAGAAACUAAGACCCAGAGAAAGAAAACAUCUUGGCCAAGGAUCCAGUCAUUGGUGAAACUGAUACUCAUAUCCAUUUACAUAGAAUACUGCCCCAGAGAAACAGGCAGCAGCCAUCAGCACUGAGACAAAGCCAUCCGUAAGCAGAAAGAUUACAACUUGUUGGAAGCUCGGAUGAUUAGUAUUUUUUAGCAGUAUUUUAAAAUUAAGCGCAACGACGUGAUGAGCUCCAUAAUGUCUUAGGUCUUGCAUGGCCCUCUACGUGGCAGCUGAUUUUCACUUUUGCUUCUCUGACAUUCUCCUGGGAAGGCCACUAGCCACUCAGCCUGCACUUCACAUCACCUUGAAGCUGUUCCAUGAGGCUUUGCAGCAGCCGAGGCACUGUCACCUGCGUACCCUGUUUAGUUUUGUCAGAGUUGAACCACAAGAAUAUACAAUAAUGGGAGAGAGACCAAAGAGUUAAACCUUAUUCAGACUGAGCAAAGCGCCUUCUGGGAAGCUGGUUCACUGGCUAAGAAUACUCUAUGUCCUAUACAUGAUACUCUAUGUACUGUACUCAUUGUACAUAAGGAAACAGGUUUUUUGUAGGUCAAAAAGGUUGAAUGUUGGUAAUUUCAUAUGCUUCACCGUAUAAUUAUACUCUGACUUGCUAUAAUGGAUUUAUAGAGUCUCUAUUUUUAAUAAAAAUAUUUCUGUGCUAUAUAGGGCAGUGCUCAACAACAUAUGUGUAUAAUUCAUGUUGCUAUUCUUAGACUUUUAGUUGUAGCAAAAGAUCCAGAUCUUGGCCUUAAUACUUUCCUGGGGUUGGUGUCGGUUUCUUGGAGAAAUGGGGAGGUGGGCUAAGCAUGGAGGCUGGGUGUGCUCUCUCAUUAUUGACAUCACAACAGGCAGUUUGCAGCAUAAGUCUCCAGCCCAGAGUGUCCUCACUGAGCCAUUUGUUUGCUCUAGCUGACCCAGAUAUUACAGUGGGGAUAGAUGAGUAUUAGGUGUCAUAUUAUGAGCUCUUCUCCGCCAGUAAGCUAUUUUCACUAUAUUGGGGGUUUUCAGUACAGACAGCACCAAAGAUGGGAGCAAAAUGCUAAGUAAUGCUAUGUACACACACAUGGGGUUUUGGAAAGGAGAAAGAUGCCGAAUGUUACUUAAUUAAAAGAUGAAAAAAAUCCUGUCUCAUACUUCACAUCAUCUACAUAAAUAAGCAAAGCGCCAUGUACUUCAUGAAUGAGCAAUAAAAAUAUGAACUGAAGUGUGUCAUAGAGUAGUAUGAAGGCCUUGACUUUAGAGCUGGAUUAACUGGGUUUGAAUCCUAGGUCUGCCACUAAAUAGUUGUAUAGCCGUGGGCAAGUUAACCUCCUUGUGAUUCAGUUUUUUCUUCUGAAAAAUGGUGAUGGAAACAAUCCUCUAUCUUAAAAGGUUGUGGCGGGGUAUUUGUAAGCUAUAAUGUCUAUUCUAUAAAAAGCAUGGUAUAUGCUGACUAUUAUUAUUAUUAAGUGAAUGACUUUUAGUACAUAGGAGAAGUUUAAAGUUCAAAUUGUGAAAAAAGGUCCAGAGUGGGGUGCCUGGCUGGCUCAGUCAGUGGAACAUGCAACCCUUGAUCUCCGGGUCAUGAGUCUGAGGCCCAUUUUGGGUACAGAGAUUGCUUAAAUAUUUUUUAAAAAAUUAAAAUUCAAACUGAGUUACAAAGCAGCAUUAAAAUCCUCAAAAUCCAACAAGUCACAAACUGCCCAAACUCCAGAAACUCCAGUUUUUUUCUUCCUGUAUUAGAAUGGUAUGCUAUUAAUUACUGUGUGCUAUUAUGUAGGUCAUAGGCCAGACUGGAUCUCUUGUCUCUUGAUUUAGGAAGACUUUUGUUGUAUUUAUUUCUUCUCUAUCCCAUUUCUUCCUCCUGGUAUUUGAUACACCCUUGCCAAACGUCUUAAAUGGCUUAUGCAAUCAUUUCUCUCCCUAAUAACCGAUGACCAUGGCAUUGGUAUUGAUCACUAAGAACAGCCAAUAAGAUAACCUGACCAAUACAUCCACAUCUACUUCCUGAGUUUCAAAUUGAAGACUGGGUGUAUUUUGUCCACUGUGAGUUAAAAAUGAAUGUAUUUUGCUCUCAUAUUGCUAUGUGGCAUUUUAGAAUUCAACUGUUUGUAAUCAAAGGAAAGCACUGUUCCAAACUACCAGCUUCUCUGAAUGCUAUACCUCAUGGGAAUUCAGAGAAACCCUAAGCAUCUUUAUCAGUUAUUUUCAAAAGAUUUAUCGGAGGAAGCUUGGCAUCUUAACACUGCAUGAUUUUUCUCGCUGCUCUGAAAACUUCAUUCAGAUUCACCCCAGAGCCACUGAACUUGCAUCAAAAAAUUCAGCCUUAGAGCAGAGAAGUGGCCUUUUCAAUAAAAGUGAUAAAAAUAA